rnacentral:misc_RNA from 1 species
AAGUCGUAACAAGGUUUCCGUAGGUGAACCUGCGGAAGGAUCAUUAACAAAUUUUCCCUACCAACCAACCCCACGUACUGUGAACCGUUACCAAUGCCCGACGUUGGAGUCUCAAGUCUGGCACACAGCAUUGUCUGUGCGCUAGGCCUCCACGUCCAUUUUUACCACAUCCUAAGAUUACCACUAGAACUGAGACUUUAUGAUGAAAAAUAAAGACAACUUUUAGCAACGGAUCUCUAGGCUCUC